rnacentral:lncRNA from 1 species
AAAAACAUACUGGUUGACAGACUAUUGCAUAAUUAUAUAUUUUCUGUUGUUCUGUGUUCUUAGGCAAUGGCGAACAAUGGCAUCUUCGAAGUGAUCAUUGUUUUUCUCAUGGCGCAAGUCUGCUUGCUCAUGAUGAUGGCAACUAGCACAUGCAGCUGCUAGACCGGUGGGGUACAAUCCAGUGUGCUGCCCUAGGAACAUCUGUUGUUGCGGGUUCGGUAGCGGAUUGGCCAAUUCACCCGCACCAUCCAUUGUAUCUUGAUGUGUGGUUUUAUUUUCCCCCAAGUAGUAAGCUCAACAUAUAAUUGAUAUAUGUGGUUCAUGUGUUAUGUAAUCCUGAAUAUUUGUGAUGCUACUUUCAAGAGGUUAUUGUACUAGUUACUUACUUAAUAAAAUGGGAGGAUAUUAUUAUAUAUCUUGCUCGGAAUAUACCGCAAAGAGACUUAAGAUUAUGUUUACUUUAGUUCUUUUGGAAACUAGAUUAUUUUGCUGCAUUGAUUUAAGAAAAAAGAGUAACUAAGCAUACACGUUGACCUCAUGAGUCUGCAGUGUGUGCCUUUGGGAAUAUCUGUUUUAUCAUUCUGUUGGUCGUACAUUGUGUCAAGAUCAUCCGUGUCAUGGCGACAUGCUUUAUUUUCGUAGAGAACAUAAUUUUUUUAAACCAUUUAUUGGGUAAAGGAGUAUAUCACCAAUUAGUAGAAACCAACUACUAUUGGCAGGCUUUUUUUUGUUAAUUCAGGGAUGCACACUGUUUUGUUUUGCAUGAAUACCAAAGUCAUAUAUUGAAAUGGUCUUUUCCCCAACGGCAAUGGAUCCGGGCCAGGAUCGAAGCAGGCGCCAAAGACUUGAUUGCUUUUUAGUUUCAUCUGUUGGGGUCCUAUUUGCAAAGUUUCUCGCCUGGGCUAUAAUUUCUACUUACUGUUGGGUUCUUUUGUAAUAUGUUGCAUGCUUAUCUAAUUUAAGUCUGGGUUUCUUCCUCAGUUCAAAUAUAUAUAUAUAUAUAUAUAUAUAUAUAUAUAUAUAUAUAUAUAUAUAUAUAUAUAUAUAUAUAUAUAUAUAUAUAUAUAUAUAUAUGGUCCAACCCUUACAACACCAUCCUUCCAAAAGCAUAAAAUAAAACAUAUACCCUCGUGUAUAUCAACAACGCCUUUCUCCCGCACUCGCACCCCAUGGGCAAAGCUCGAUAUUGCAGUUGGAUAUCCAAAACGCCCUCACAGCCGGGGUAAAUCAUUCUCUGUGUGUGCUCAAUUCCUCAGAAAACAAUCAAAAAAUCAUACAUGAAUACAACUCUUUGCUCUUUUACGGAACGCAAAAGGAUUGUUUUGUUCUGGAUCCUAUAUGUGUAAUCUAUCUAUCUAAAUUAAUUAAAGAGAUCUCAUAAACUCCAACGGUUAAUCAGAAAUUAUGAAUUGUUCAUCUGGUGGGACCGAGUUUGGCACAAGGACCGUCGAAGGACCGGAAAAGGGGAGGGAAAUGGACGGAAACUAAAAUGAAGGCAGAGGACCAGUUGACAAAGAGAAGUGAAGACCCUGUCCUGAGCUACUCACUAAGUUUAGGCGGUUUCAAUAGUAGAUGCAGUUUCUUUUAUUACCAACCGCCUCCAAUACUUAUUGCAAGCGGUUAUGUUGUUCUAACCGCCUACGGUGUGAAUAUUACAGGCGACUUCGUUCUAUUUGAUCACAACCGCUUGUGGAGUCUACGUUGUGGGUGGAGUCUCCGUUGGUAGUUACAUCGGCCGAUGUGAUGUGUAUUGUCAUGUUCCAUGAUGAUAGUUUGUUGGGCGUGUUGUUAUGGUUUUUGCCCAAUUUUUCUAAAUUAGCUGGACAAUUUAUUUUUUUAAUUAAUGCAAGUAAAUGAUAAAUCUUUUGUCUUCCCCGCAAAAAAAAUAUAUCUUUUGUCUCGUUUAAUCUUUUGCCAAGCAACAAAGGUUUUGCACCGAACCAUUGGCGGAAUUGGCCUGAUUGCCGACGCGGCGAGCCGAGCUCUCCUACGCUGGUGGAAUUGGCUGAAAACUGGGAGCGCCCGCCCAAACAGAAACUUGGUGCACGCUGACAGACACUGCACUCACGCACAUGCUCCUACAUACUGUACGUGUUAUCCUACGGUGACAGACCUGCCAACCCCGAUGGAUCGAUCGAUGCCUCCUCUUAUCCUCUGCAGAGUGCAGUGGAGCGCCCGCCCUUCACGUGCUCUGUUUUCUAGGAGUAGUAGUAUAUGACCAACGACAACGAGCCGCCGCCACCUGUGCUCUGCGGCAGCGCCGGCCAUCCCGCCCGCCCGCCGCUCGUCUCAAAACCACGGUCUCGCUUCCCACCGUAUCAAAUCGCCUUUCUUCCCGCCCGCUGGUUGCGCGGUUUCCUGCAACCUAUAAAUCCAGUCGGAGAACCUCACCUGUCCAUCCAUCUCAUCUCAUCCAACUCACACUACUACUGAUCUCAGCUAGCCUAGGAGUACUCGAGUUUACUACCAGUUCAAUUCCUUCGGUACGAGGCUCUCUCCGGCGAAGAUGUCUACGGUGACCCGCGCCUACCUCGACCAGAGGCUCGCCGCCGCCAAGCGCUGCUCCAGAGGUAACCAAAACGAUAUGAUGUCGCGCCGGUCCUCAAGGGCACAUUGCAGCUUUCUCUACUGUCUCUGCUGAAACUUGAUCGUAACUAAAAUGUCUCUUUUGCUCCGGAACUGCAGAGGCUGCCAUGGCGGGAGCAAAGGCCGCGGCCGUCGCCACCGUCGCUGCCGCAGUGCCCACAGUAAGUAGCCGUUCAGUUCUUCAGUUCAGAGUUCAUAGCACAUAUCUCAUGAAUGCGUUACCUGUAAUUUCAGCUGGCGAGCGUGAGGAUGCUGCCGUGGGCCAAGGCGCACCUGAACCCGACCGGGCAGGCGCUCAUCAUCUCCACCGUGGCCGGGAUGGCCUACUUCAUCGUCGCCGACAAGACCAUCCUGUCCAUGGCCAGAAAGCACUCCUUCGACGACGCGCCAGACCACCUCAAGAACACCUCCUUCCACUAAUUAGACACUUGAUUAGCCAUGGCCCAAUAAACUGUGUACGCAGGCCCGUGGCAACGUGUCGGCUGAAACAUAGUAGUAUAAUGUUCAGCGACAGGGCCAGCAGGCGAGGCGACGAUGGUUGCAGUGCUGAAAGGUGGUGUUCAGCCCUUCAAUUUGUGCGAGCAAGCACUUAUUAUCUGAUGAUGUAUGUAUGUAAUAAUGUGGCCAUGUUCUCCAUCUUAGUAUCUUCCCGGAGAUCUUGAAUUAAUAACAACUACUAGUUCUAAUAAUGUGUACAGACGUCAGUGCAAUGCAAAAGACCGAUAACAGUGACCCCCUACUCCUGCCAUGCUCUGUUCUGAAUCCGAGAUGGCUAUUUUUUUCAUUUUGAGGACAGCCGAACCCAUCCAUAAAGCAUACUAGUUGAUUCAAGCCAUUUUGAGGACAGCCGAACAAAACGGGCCUUAAAGCAUGUAGAAACUAGGUUACGUACUGCUAAAAUAACUACUCCCUCCGUCUCAUAAUAUAAAAACAUUUUUUUAGAGAAAAGUCAUAUAUCCGACUUUAUAAAUAAAGUCAUAAGGCAGGUAUGAAUAAGAACGCAGGAGAGUAUCAAACACGCCAAGCCACAGAGAGGGCAGAAAGACCCCCUACUCCUACACGCGUCAGUGCAUUGCAAAAGACCCCCUACUCCUGCCGUGCUCUGUUCUGAAUCCGAAAUGCACGUGAGCAUCAUGCCACCUCACACGUUGAAUCUUCUGGUAUGGUUUUUAAUGGAUGGGUUGGCAAAUAAGGAUGUUUCUGAAAAUGAAAAAAUUAGCUAUUUUGGGACAAGCUUUCUGUACUGGUGGUGUACCCCGUGGGUAGGUUUGAGGUGUUUGUCCCCAGAGACCGGGGCACCUCGGCAUUUUUCUUGGUCGCAAGUCAGAUAAAAUGUAUUCAUACCGCAUCCGCGUGUAAGUGUGCAUUGUAAUUUGUAAAUACUCUCUCUCUCUCUCUCUGGUCCUUUGUACUUUGCAAAUAAGAUUUUUUUCGAAGUACAACAUCGUAAAGCUUGACCACUUUUAUAGAAAAAAAUAUAAAUAUUGAAGAUACAAUGGGUUGUGGAUUUAAUUUUUAUAUUGUAUAACUUCAAUAUUGCAGAUGUUCCUCACAAAAAGAAAUUGUAGAUGUUAAUAUUUUGUCAUAUACAUUUGGUCAAAGUCGCCGAGCUAACUGUUCGCCGAUUUGAUCUUGUGGAUGGCCCACCCUCUCUAGAUCCGCCACCUCCGCCAGCUCCGGCAACUCUUCGUACGGGUUAGUUGGAAAAGUAUGUAUAAACACAUGGCGAGAACGGCGGUGCCUCCGGCUAUCGGAUCGUGGUAACCGAGGCUGAGCGCGCGGUAUGGCAACAUGCGAGGUAUGACCGACGCAGUGCCAGUCGCCGCUGUAAGGGCAUACUUAUCCCCAAGAUGUUUUGGUGAUUGAUGACAAUGCUUGUGCGGACUAAUAACGUGCGUUAAGUUCUUUCAGAGUUUCUUCCUUUGGCACGAGACGAUUUUCUCCCCUCGGUGUUUUAUUCAAGACGGUGUAGCUCCUUCAUUUCAUUGUUGGUGGACUAGUCCCGUAGGAGUCACCGUACUAUCAAGAGGGGAUCCGCUUUGGUAAGACUAGGGUGGAAUCAACCCGUACACAUCCAUAUCACACCCGGCGUUUUCUUUCCGCUUCAUUGGAGCUGCCGUUUUCCCCUUAGUAUGCUUUGCUCUGCCCCAGCGGUAGUACCGCGACCCACAACGGUAGUACCGCCGAAGCUCCCCAGCGGUAGUACCGCUCUCAGAGCGGUAGUACCGCUCCAAGCGGUAGUACCGCUCUCCGAACGGUAGUACCGCUUGGGUCUUCGGCCAUAGUACCGCUGUGCUUCCGGGCUACUGCUGCCUCGAUUCGAGAACGAUGUUUUUCGUGUCGGGUUUUGCGGUACUAAGGGCGGUAGUUGUGGCGGUAGUACCGCUCCAAGCGGUAGUACCGCGCCUACCCCCACGGUAGUACCGCCCUGGGGUCAGGGCCCUGUCAGCGCGGUAGUACUGCUGGGUUGAGCGGUAGUACCGCCCGGAGCGGUAGUACCGCCCUUCCCUAGCGGUAGUACCGCUCUGUGCGGGGCUGCUCGUGGGAUAACGGUUGGAUUGAUCCCCCCACUAUAUAAAGGGGUCUUCUUCCCAAAGUUUACCUACCUCUAGCCCCCAAAGCUCCAUUGUUGCUCCAAGCUCCAUUUUCGCCCGAUCUCUCUCCCUAGCCAAUCAAACUUGUUGAUUUGCUCGGGAUUGGUUGAGAAGGCCCAGAUCUACACUUCCACCAAGAGAAAUUUGAUUCCCCCCACUUAUCCCUAGCGGAUCUUGUUACUCUUGGGUGUUGAGCACCCUAGACGGUUGAGGUCACCUCGAAGCCAUAUUCCAUUGUGGUGAAGCUUCGUGGUGUUGUUGGGAGCCUCCAAGUGUUGUGGAGAUAGCCCCAAUCUUGUUUGUAAAGGUCCGGCUGCCGCCUUCAAGGGCUCCAAUAGUGGAAUCACGGCAUCUCGCAUUGUGUGAGGGCGUGAGGAGAUUACGGUGGCCCUAGUGGCUUCUUGGGGAGCAUUGUGCCUCCACACCGCUCUAACGGAGACGUACUUCCCCUUAAAAGGAAGGAACUUUGGUAACACAUCCUCGUCUCCACCGGCUCCACUCUUGGUUAUCUUGUCCCUUUACUUUUGCAAGCUUACUUGAGUUGUAUCUAUUGCUUGCUUGUGUGCUUUUUGUCUUUGCAUCAUAUAGGUUGUCCACGUAGUUGCACAUCUAGACAACUUAUUUCAUUGCAAGGUUUAAAUUGUUAAAGAAAAGUCUAAAAAUUGUUAGUUGCCUAUUCACCCCCCCCUCUAGUCAACCAUAUCGAUCCUUUCAAUUGGUAUCCGAGCCUCGUCUCUUUAUUAAGGACUUUGCCAUCCGAAGAGUAUGGUUGACACCCACGACGGUGCGGAGGAGCACUCCGGUGUGAAUCCCAUCUCGUCCACGGCCGAAGGGGGAGCCUCGGUCUCACGUGAGGAAUUCAAUGUGGCUUUAGACACAUUGAAAACCUCCAUGACGGCCGAGGUUAAAAGCAUGUUUUCUGAAUUCCUAGACGGACUUAAACUAUCUACCUCGCCGAUGAAAGUGGGUGACCCCACUAACAAGGUGACGGAUGCUACCUCCGACAAGGGGGAAGCUAACAGUGAAAAGAGUCCGUCUACUAGUGGGAGAAAUGGCACCGGCAUCUUUGCCAAUGUGGAACCCCCAGUGUAUAGUGGACCGAUCCCCUCUACUCAUUUGAAUCAUGCCGGUCCUCCUCCUAAAUAUGUGAAAAAUGAAGAUUUUGACUCUUGGGUUUAUCGCUUCAAGCGUCACUUAAAACAUGUGAACACUAACCUUUGGAGAAUUAUUGAAGAAGGUUUCUAUCCUCAUGAUCCAAGCAACUUCACCCCUCAAGAAUAAGUGGACAAUCAAUUCAAUGAGAGUGCUCUCUUCAUCAUCCAAGAUGCAAUCCUUCCCGAAGAUCUCCCUCAUCUUCGACCUCAUGUCAUGGCUAAAGAAGCAUGGAAAUGUGUUGAGUCUCUCUAUCGAGGAAGUGCUAGCAUUCAACGCUCCAACUAUGAAGUGGUGCAAGAUGAAGUCGAUGAGUUUGCAAUGAAAGAGGAUGAAGAACCUCGUGAGCUCUUUCAAAGAGUGACCAAACUCGCGGUCGCACUCCGAGAUCAUGGGAGCAAGGACACGGAUGACAACUGGAUCAAGCGCAAGUUCCUCAAGGCCAUGAUGCCCUACAACAAGGCCAUGUCCUCCGUCAUUCGCCAAAGACCGGACUUCCACUCCAUGACCUCAGGUGAAGUGUUGGAUGAGUUUGUUGCAAUGAGCAUCUUGGACAAGACCGCCGACAAUGCGGUGCUCCGUUCUCAAAGGGCAAAGAAGCCCAAUCUUGCCUUGAAGGCCAAGGUUAGUGUGGAAGAAGAAGAAGAAGAAGAGAAAGAUGAGGAGAGCAACCCCGAGGACACGAAGUAUGAUUAUCAUGAGCACAUGGCUCUUGCCUCAAGACAAUUUUGGAGUAAGAAGAAUACAAGACCCAACUUCAACAAGAACAACUCAAGUGGCCUCAAGGGCAAGCAACGAGUUAGAACUUGUUUCAACUGUGGCAAUGUUAGCCAUUUCGUUGCGGAUUGUCCUUACGAGAAGCGGGAAGACAAUGGUGGCAUGUUCAUCCGAAAAGACAAAGCCAAGUCCUUCCCCAACAAGAACAACUUCACCAAGAAGACUCCUACUCGCGGGUUGGUGGUUCAAGAAGAAUACCGUGAGGAUGACGAUGAUGAUGAAGAUGGUGAAACAAUGGCCAUGGCAUCCGUUGCCAUUGUCACAACUCCCCGGGUGUCUCUCUUCGAUGCACCUAACAAGAACAUCACCGCCAAGUGCCUCAUGGCUAAGGCACCAACAAGGUAACCCCCAAUAUCAAAACCACCAUUAUUCCUAAUCCUCCUUCAACGGAUGACUUUGAUAAUGGUAAGAGGUCUAAUGAGGAGAUUAAUGAAUUUGAGUCCUUCAUGAGUAAGCUCAAGGGCAAAUCCAAGAAGCACUUUGUUGCUCUCUUGGAACAACUUGGUGAAGCCAAUGACAUGAUAGAGGCUCACGAAGAAACCAUCUCUAAGAUGGAAGGUCAUAGUCGUGAUUACGCCGAUGAGAUAUCGGAUCUAUCUAAUGAUCUUGCUAAAGAGCGUGGGCAUCGUUUGGCUCUUGAGGAGUCACACAACAAUGACCAUGCCAAAUUAAAGAAAGAUCUUGAUCAUGCUCUUGUUGUGUCUCGUGUUCUAACUUCCGAGAAGGCUAAACUUGGGGUUGAUCAUGCUAGACUCAAGGAGGAGUUUGAUGUACUUGACAAGGCCCAUAAGGUCUUGAAAGGUGCUCAUGCAAACCUCAAGGAGUCUCAUGCUCAACUCCAAGUUAAGCUUACCAAGGAAAAGGCCACAUUUCCUCACAUGGUCUUAAUUGAUAAUGCAAAUGCUACUAACCCAUGUUGUGAGCAUGUGCAUCUUGUGGAGGAGAAUUCCAAGUUGAAGGAACAACUCGAGAAAGGUCUUGUGUCAUGCAUACAAGGCGAGAAGAACCUAAAUGACCUUUUGAGCAAUCAAAAGGAAGUUGUGGGCAAGGAGGGAGUUGGGUUCACGCCCAAGUCCAAGAACAAGAAGAAGAACAAGGAGAAGAAUAACAAGACCAAUCGACCUCCCUCGCUCAAGCAAACUUUUGUGAAGGAGGGAGAGGGUGCUCCUAAGAAGAAGAAUGACAAUGCGAGGAGUGGUGAUGCCAAAGAGAGCAAAGCCAUCUCUCCCAACAAAGCCGGCGACUUUAACCCUUCUUAUGUGUUGUGUCGUGCUAGCGAUGGGCAUGUUUAUGCUAAAUUUGUUGGUUCUUCUUAUGAGUACAUUGAAUGGUCUAUUUGGGUUCCUAAGACCCUUGUUACUAACAUCAAAGGACCCAUUACUCAAUGGGUACCUAAAAUCAAGCAUUGAUAUCUUGUAGGUGUUUGCUUCCGGUGGGGGAUCAUGGUUGCUCGAUAGUGGAGCAACAAAUCAUAUGAACGGGAGCAAGGACUUGGUGGUGGAUGUGCACAAGAUCCCAUCUAUGCCCACCAAUGUUGAAUGGGGUGAUGCCUCACAUUCUAAGGUAUUGGGUCUUGGCAAGGUUGUCAUUUCUCAUGAUCUAACGAUCGAGAAAGUCAUGCUUGUUGAGUCCCUUGCGUUCAAUUUACUUUCCGUUCGUCAACUCGCACUCAUGGGCUUUGCCACCUUCUUUGAUAUUGAUACCGUGGCCCUCUUGUGGAGCAAGACUCUUAAAGUAGCCUUUGUUGGGCAUGUCGAGAACGGUCUCUAUGUGAUUAACUUUUCGGAGCAACCCACUAAGACCACGACAUGCCUAAUGGCUAAAGUUGAUGUGGGAUGGCUUUGGCAUCGCCGUUUAGCCCACGUCAAUAUGAGAUCUUUGCAAAGUCUUCUCAAGGGGGACCAUGUUCAUGGACUAACGAAUGUUAGUUUUGCCAAAGAUCGUGUUUGCAGUGCUUGUAUCAAAGGAAAGCUUCAUGAGACGUCUCACCCUCCCACGACUAUCAUCUACUCGAAGAGACCCUUGGAGCUCCUGCACAUGGACCUCUUCGGGCCUCCAUCCUUUGAUAGUCUUGGGGGUAGAAAGUAUUGCUUGGUGAUUGUGGAUGAUUAUUCAAGAUACACUUGGGUAUACUUCUUCAAGAGGAAGAGUGAGACUCAACAAACCGUCAUCGACUUUGCAAAUGAAGCUCAACGUCAACAUAAUGCGAAGAUCCUGGCAAUAAGAAGUGACAACGGCACCGAGUUCAAGAACUACACCUUGGAUGAGUUUCUUAGUGAUGAAGGGAUCAAGCAUCAAUAUUCUGCACCAUAUACCCCUCAACAAAAUGGUGUUGCGGAGAGGAAGAACCGGACGUUGAUGGAUGCGGCAAGGACCAUGAUGGCGGAGUUCAAGUCUCCAUACAACUUUUGGGCCGAAGCCAUCAACACAGCAUGUCAUGCAUCCAAUCGGCUCUAUCUCCGCAAAGGCUUGAACAAGACUCCGUAUGAGAUACUCACCGGGAAUAAGCCCAAUCUCAAGUACUUCCGGGUGUUCGGGUGUAAGUGUUUCAUUCUCAAGAAAGGUGUCCGUUUGUCUAAAUUCGAGGCUAGAGCUCAUGAGGGCAUAUUUGUUGGUUAUGCUACAAACUCUCAUGCUUACCGUGUUCUCAACAAGUCCAACGGACUCAUCGAGGAGACGUGUAACGUAGAGUUUGACGAAAAUAACGGCUCCCAAGUGGAGCAAAGUGGUACUUGUGAUGUAGGUGAUGAAAUUCCUCCCCAAGCCAUAAGAAGAAUGGGUAUUGGUCAUAUCUUACCCAUUGAGAAACCCCUUGUAACCGAAGGAGAAGGACAAUGCUCCACCUCUGUGCAGCCUUCACCUACUCAAGACCCACACACUUCCGAAGAACAAAGUGAAGGCCCUCAACCUCGGGAACAAGACCAAGGGCAAGAUCAAUCUCAAGAUGGUGGUGAACCUUCACAUGAUGCACAAGGUCAAGUUCUCCCCCUCGAGCAAGUUCAAGAUCAUGAGCAAGCUCAAGAUCAAGAACAAGCUCAUGACGACGCUCAAGAUGAUCAAGUGAACCCUCCUCCUUCGACAUCCGAGGAGGAAUUGGAGCGUCGUGCCGUGAAGAUUGCUUCCAAACUCACCACCAAAGGUCAUCUCAUGGAGAAUGUGGUUGGAAGCCUAAGAAAGGGGGUCUAUGAGGCGCUCGAAGACUCGGAUUGGCUCGAUGCCAUGCAUGAAGAACUCAACAACUUCGAGUACAACAAGGUGUGGAGGUUGGUGCCAAGGCCUUCCGGGAACCAUAACAUCAUUGGAACCAAGUGGAUCUUCAAGAACAAGCAAGAUGCUCAUGGGAACAUAAUUCGCAACAAGGCAAGAUUGGUAGCACAAGGCUACUCCAAGUCGAGGGUAUCGACUACGGUGAAACCUUUGCUCCCGUUGCUCGCCUUGAAUCCAUCUGUUUGUUGAUUGCUUAUGCUUCCCAUCACAACUUUAAGUUGCAACAAAUGGAUGUGAAAAGUGCUUUUCUUAAUGGUCCUAUUAAUGAGUUGGUCUAUGUCAAGCAACCCCCCGGGUUCGAGGAUCCCUUCUUUCCGGAUCAUGUAUAUCAACUCGAUAAGGCACUCUAUGGCCUUAAACAAGCCCCACGUGUGUGGUAUGACCACCUUACCGAGUUGUUACAAGAUCGUGGAUUUGAAGUUGGGCUAAUCGAUCCCACUCUUUUUACUAAGAAGGUCAAAGGGGAGUUGUUUGUAUGCCAACUAUAUGUUGAUGACAUUAUCUUUGGUUCCCCUAACAAAGCUUUCAAUGAAGAAUUUGCCGCUCUCAUGACCUCUAAGUUCAAGAUGUCUUCAAUGGGAGAGUUGAAGUUCUUCCUUGGUUUUGAUAUCAAACAAAGAAGAGAAGGUACCUUCAUCAACCAAGCCAAAUACACUCAAGACAUGCUCAAGAGAUUCAAGCUAAAUGAUGUCAAGCCGGCCUCUACUCCAAUGCCCACCAAGUGACAACUUGACAUUGAUCCCAAUGGUAAAGCGGUGGAUCAAAAGGUAUAUCUCUCCAUGAUUGGCUCCUUGCUUUACCUUUGUGCAUCUAGACCGGAUAUCAUGUUCAGUGUGGGGAUGUGUGCACGGUUUCAAGCUGCACCGAAGGAAAGUCACUAUGUGGCGGUCAAGCGAAUCUUUCGAUAUUUGGCUCAUACCCCAAACUUUGGCUUAUGGUACCCAAGAGGGGCAAACUUCAAGCUUGAAGGAUUUACGGAUUCUGAUUGGGCGGGAGUCAAAGUGGAUAGGAAGUCCACUUCCGGAGGGUGCCAGUUUCUUGGGUGCUCUUUGGUGAGUUGGUCUUCCAAAAAGCAAAGUUGUGUAUCUCUCUCGUCCACCGAAGCUGAAUAUGUGGCGGCCAGUAGUUGUUGUGCACAACUCUUAUGGAUGAGGCAAACUUUAAAGGAAUACGGUGUCAUUUGUGACAAAGUGCCUCUUUGGUGUGACAACGAAAGUGCCAUCAAGAUUUCUCUCAACCCGGUGCAACACUUCAAGACGAAGCAUAUUGAGAUUCGGUAUCAUUUCAUCCAGGAUCACAUUAGGCGAGGAGAGAUCGAGCUCAAGUAUGUCAACACUCAUGAUAACCUUGCAGAUAUUUUCACGAAGCCCUUGGAUGAAGUAAGAUUUUGCGAGUUAAGGCAUGAGCUAAAUAUCAUUGAUUCGAGCAAUGUGACUUGAACCCUUGCACACCCCACCCACUCAACUUGGUGUCUAGCUUAGAUGUAGGCAUGGACAUAGGGGGAGUGUUGUUAUCUCAAUGAACUCUCCCUCCCCCCAUUAUGCAUAAAUCGAUCAACCCUUUCACAUUAGCCAUUUUUUAUGGUACUUGUGCUUCAAAGACGAGUGUUGGUCAUGGGCCCAAGGAUAAUUCUUCGUGGUGCCAUACCAAUUGACUCAAACAUAGGUGGCUCCGGCCACCGUCCUCUCCUGAGAGAGGCCAGAGUUCGCUCUGGUUCGUGUGUUUGUUUUUGUUUGAGUAGUUUCUGGUCCGUUGUUUGUGUGUGUGCUUCCUGGUUGGUCUUCUCUUUCUCUUGCCCUUGCUUUUGUUUUUUUGGAGCGUUAGCCGUAGGUUUAGGAGCAGUGUGGUUGCUGAAGCGGUACUACCGCUGGUGGCGAGUGGUACUACCACUCCUAGCGGUACUACCGCCCUCCAGCGCAGUACUACUGCCGUGAGGCGCGGGCCGGGGGUUAUAUCGGGGGCAGGGGGAGUUUUCUUCUCCCCCAUACCCAUUCGCUCGCCCCCUCGCUUUGUUCCUCUCUCCUCAGCAACCGGCGCCACGGGAGGGCUCCGACGGAUCUCCCUCUCUGGGGCGCUCCUCUCCAUUUCCUUCGGUGGAGUCAAUCCCCACCGUUUCCUCUUGCCAUGGAUGCCGGUAUUGCCCCCGUUCUCUUUUUUCUUUUGUCUAGAUUUCCAAUCUAGCUUCUUAGGGGCAAUAGUAGUUGCAUCUCUAGAUUUUUGGCCAGAUCUAGGCUUGAGUAGGAUGGAGAUUGCUUCUAGACAAUUUGGAUUAGUGUUUGGUUGGAGUAUUUUUUGAAUUUGGUAGGACGGUAGUACCGGAUCUGACCACGGAAGUAGGAAACUGUUGUUUCCCCGCCUCGAGCGGUACUACCACUUUCUCCAGAGCUGUACUACCGCUCUCCGAACGGUAGUACCGCUUGGGGUCUUCGGCCGUAGUACCGCUGUGCUUCCGGGCUACUGCCGCCUCGAUUCGAGAACGAUAUUUUUCGUGUCGGGUUUUGCGGUACUAAGGGCGGUAGUUGUGGCGGUAGUACCGCUCCAAGAGGUAGUACCGCGCCUACCCCCACGGUAGUACCGCCCUGGGGUCAGGGCCCUGUCAGCGCAGCAGUACCGCCCUUCCCUAGCGGUAGUACUGCUCUGUGCGGGGCUGCUCAGUAGGAUAACGGUUGGAUUGAUCCCCCCACUAUAUAGAGGGGUCUUCUUCCCCAAAGUUGACCUACCUCUAGCCCCCAAAUCUCCAUUGUUGCUCCAAGCUCCAUUUUCGCCCGAUCUCUCUCCCUAGCCAAUCAAACUUGUUGAUUUGCUCGGGAUUGGUUGAGAAGGCCCAGAUCUACACUUCCACCAAGAGAAAUUUGAUUCCCCACACUUAUCCCUAGCGGAUCUUGUUACUCUUGGGUGUUGAGCACCCUAGACGGUUGAGGUCACCUCGAAGCCAUACUCCAUUGUGGUGAAGCUUCAUGGUGUUGUUGGGAGCCUCCAAGUGUUGUGGAGAUAUCCCCAAUCUUGUUUGUAAAGGUCCGGUUGCCGCCUUCAAGGGCUCCGAUAGUGGAAUCACGGCAUCUCGCAUUGUGUGAGGGCGUGAGGAGAUUACGGUGUCCCUAGUGGCUUCUUGGGGAGCAUUGUGCCUCCACACCGCUCUAACGGAGGCGUACUUCCCCUUAAAAGGAAGGAACUUCGGUAACACAUCCUCGUCUCCACCGGCUCCACUCUUGGUUAUCUUGUCCCUUUACUUUUGCAAGCUUACUUGAGUUGUAUCUAUUGCUUGCUUGUGUGCUUUUUGUCUUUGCAUCAUAUAGGUUGUCCACGUAGUUGCACAUCUAGAUAACCUAUUUCAUUGCAAGGUUUAAAUUGUUAAAUAAAAGUCUAAAAAUUGUUAGUUGCCUAUUCACCCCCCCCCUCUAGUCAACCAUAUCGAUCCUUUCAAUUGGUAUCCGAGCCUCGUCUCUUUAUUAAGGACUUUGUUGUCCGAAGAGUAUGGUUGACACCCACGACGGUGCGGAGGAGCACUCCGGUGUGAAUCUCAUCUCGUCCACGGCCGAAGGGGGAGCCUCGGUCUCACGUGAGGAAUUCAAUGUGGCUUUAGACACAUUGAAAACCUCCAUGACGGCCGAGGUUAAAAGCAUGUUUUCUAAAUUCCUAGACGGACUUAAACUAUCUACCUCGCCGAUGAAAGUGGGUGACCCCACUAACAAGGUGACGGAUGCUACCUCCGACAAGGGGGAAGCUAACAGUGAAAAGAGUCCAUCUACUAGUGGUAGAAAUGGCACCGACAUCUUUGCCAAUGUGGAACCCCCAGUGUAUAGAGGACCGAUCCCCUCUACUCAUUUGAAUCAUGCCGGUCCUCCUCCUAAAUAUGUGAGAAAUGAAGAUUUUGACUCUUGGGUUUAUCGCUUCAAGCGUCACUUAAAACAUGUGAACACUAACCUUUGGAGAAUUAUUGAAGAAGGUUUCUAUCCUCAUGAUCCAAGCAACUUCACCCCUCGAGAAGAAGUGGACAAUCAAUUCAAUGAGAGUGCUCUCUUCAUCAUCCAAGAUGCAAUCCUUCCCGAAGAUCUCCCUCAUCUUUGACCUCAUGUCAUCGCUAAAGAAGCAUGGAAAUGUGUUGAGUCUCUCUAUCGAGGAAGUGCUAGCAUUCAACGCUCCAACUAUGAAGUGGUGCAAGAUGAAGCCGAUGAGUUUGCAAUGAAAGAGGAUGAAGAACCUCGUGAGCUCUUUCGAAGAGUGACCAAACUCGCGGUCGCACUCCGAGAUCAUGGGAGCAAGGACACGGAUGACAACUGGAUCAAGCGCAAGUUCCUCAAGGCCAUGAUGCCCUACAACAAGGCCAUGUCCUCUGUCAUUCGCCAAAGACCGGACUUCCACUCCAUGACCUCAGGUGAAGUGUUGGAUGAGUUUGUUGCAAUGAGCAUCUUGGACAAGACCGCCGACAAUGCGGUGCUCCGUUCUCAAAGGGCAAAGAAGCCCAAUCUUGCCUUGAAGGCCAAGCUUAGUGUGGAAGAAGAAGAAGAAGAGGAAGAUGAGGAGAGCAACCCCGAGGACACAAAGUAUGAUUAUCAUGAGCACAUGGCUCUUGCCUCAAGACAAUUUUGGAGUAAGAAGAAUACAAGACCCAACUUCAACAAGAACAACUCAAGUGGCCUCAAGGGCAAGCAACGAGUUAGAACUUGUUUCAACUGUGGCAAUGUUAGCCAUUUCGUUGCGGAUUGUCCUUAUGAGAAGCGGAAAGACAAUGGUGGCAAGUUCAUCCGAAAAGACAAAGCCAAGUCCUUCCCCAACAAGAACAACUUCACCAAGAAGACUCCUACUCGCGGGUUGGUGGUUCAAGAAGAAUACCGUGAGGAUGACGAUGAUGAUGAAUAUGGUGAAACAAUGGCCAUGGCAUCCGUUGCCAUUGUCACAACUCCCCGGGUGUCUCUCUUCGAUGCACCUAACGAGAACAUCACCGCCAAGUGCCUCAUGGCUAAGGCCACCAACAAGGUAACCCCCAAUAUCAAAACCACCAUUAUUCCUAAUCCUCCUUCAACGGAUGACUUUGAUAAUGGUAAGAGGUCUAAUGAGGAGAUUAAUGAAUUUGAAUCCUUCAUGAGUAAGCUCAAGGGCAAAUCCAAGAAGCACUUUGUUGCUCUGUUGGAACAACUUGGUGAAGCCAAUGACAUGAUAGAGGCUCACGAAGAAACCAUCUCUAAGAUGGAAGGUCAUAGUCGUGAUUACGCCGAUGAGAUAUCGGAUCUAUCUAAUGAUCUUGCUAAAGAGCGUGGGCAUCGUUUGGCUCUUGAGGAGUCACACAACGAUGACCAUGCCAAAUUAAAGAAAGAUCUUGAUCAUGCUCUUGUUGUGUCUCGUGUUCUAACUUCCGAGAAGGCUAAACUUCCAGAAGCCCCCCUCAUCCGCUUCCAGAAGCCCCCCUCCCCCCCUAGCCCCCGUCCGCAUCUGGCCAGCCUCUGCUCCCCCCGUCGGCGGCAACCCUAGCUAGCCACCUAGCCACCGCACGAUGGGCUUCUGCUCCGGCAAGGGCAAGACCCCCUCCCCCAACCCCUCUCCCCCGCCUCCCCGUCCCCCGCCGACCGAGGCAACGCGUGAAUGUGCUAGUGCAUCAGGCGGAGUGGCACUGGCAGCACCACGUCCCUCUCGCCUACCCCAACGUCACCCUGUCGUAUGACUGGCACUCGGAUCCGCACUUGGAUCCGAAGAGGAUCCUAGUGUCGGCGGCGCCGUGGUCGGCAAGGGCGCACGCGGAGGAGAGGCAGCGCCAGCGGGCGUUGCUGACGCCGGAGCAGCGAGCGACUCCGCCUACGACACCGACUCGCCUUAUUGGGCGCGUUGGUUCGCCUUCGAGCACGAGGAGGCGAGACGGCGCGGCGUCCGCAAAGUCUCCUGUAGCUCUCGCCCGCCGUCCAUCGUCGUUCGCGGCGAGGACCAGGAGGCGGAGGCCGCCUACCAGGCGGCCAUGGCGGCUAUCCUUCGGAAGAGUGAGGAGGAGGAGCGACGCAGGGAGGCGGAGGAGGAGGCGGCAUACGAGGCAUGCAUGGCGGAUGCCAUGGCGUUGUCCGUGUGCGGCGACUGCGUCGUGCUGCCGCUGGCGCCGCCGUCCCUAGAGUAGCACGUGAGUGGGUGGGCGCCCCGCCGAUUUGGAUGGGGGCGACGGAGGCGCAUGAUGCGGCCUACCUCGAGCAAUGACGCCAGUGACGGCUGACCGAGGAGCGCUGCGACGGCGAAUACCUCGAACAACUCGAGCGCGACGCCGAGGAGGAGCAGCGUGGGGCGAAGGAUCCUCCACGCUAGGCCCAGGGCGCGGCGGAACAGGGCGGGGCGCCCCAGCCCACGGCGUCCGACAUCGCCACUGCCUGAAACACGGCGUUCCCCUGGGCCGGGCCUGCGCCGACGCUGAUCGACCUCACCGGCCCCGACGUUGACAACGAGGACGCCAAAGGGCAACGCGCCACCUCGUAGUUUACUUUUUUUAAUGUUUAAUUAAUGUAAGUGUGGACUCUCGUCAGUCUUCGUGGCCGGCUUUAACGUUUAAUUAAUGUUUGUUUUUAUUUUUGAAAUACUUGUGUGUUUUUAAUUUUCUUUUUCGUUUCUUUUAUCUUACAAGAAGGACAAAUGCCUCGUGUAGCAAAAUUAUCUACUCCCUCCGUAGUAUCUAUCAGCACUGUUGUGCCUAACUUUAGAUGGAUCGAGAUCUCCCUUUUCUUGCUAGCUUUAGUUUGGUGGGUACAGAAAGAAAGACGAGGGAGGGAGCAACGGAGGAAUGCCCUGCAACAAACAAACAUCAUCCAAACCACAGUUUUGGAUGCCGCUUCCGGAAAGCGUGCUCUGCCCACCAACUCAGUUCAACACUCCAAGUCCAAACGAGCGGAGCAUCCGCGGUUUGCACCCAAAACCGUGCGUGGCCGCCACCUUUUUGCCCGCUACAAAUACACGGCUCAACUCCACGUCCUGGAAACAUCAAGCAACAGACAGCCAGCCAGCCCAUCUCAUCUCAUCUCGCUCGAUCGCACUCCUUGUGCUGAGCCGUUUCAGCACAAGACCACGGCGAAGAUGUCGUCGACGGCCACCGUCACCCGCGCCCACCUCGAGAACAAGCUCGCCCUCGCCAAACGCUGCUCCAGAGGUACGUAGCAACCAGUAGGAUCCACUUCUUCAGAGUUCAGUUCAGCCAAGUUGUGUAACCAUAGUCUGACACUAGCAAUGCAUUUCUUUUCCUAAUGUUUCCCAGAGGCGACGCUCGCCGGAGCAAAGGCUGCAGCCGUCGCCACCGUCGCGUCUGCGGUCCCAACGGUGAGCUCCUCCGUCUGGGAUUUGUUGAUUUUCAUGCAAGUUGGACUCUGGUUUUCAUAACUGAACUGUUAAUCGUACGUGCAGCUGGCGAGCGUGAGGAUGCUGCCGUGGGCCAAGGCGAACCUGAACCCCACCGGCCAGGCCCUCAUUGUCUGCACCGUCGCCGGGAUGGCAUACUUCGUCGCCGCCGACAAGACCAUCCUCUCGCUGGCGAGGAGGCACUCGUACGAGAGCGCCCCCGACCACCUCAAGGACACCUCCUUCGCUGGCGCUGCCGCCGCUCGUCCCCGUCCACCGGCAUUCUUCAGGCCUUGAGCUACUGUCCUGCUAAAGUAUGAUACGCACGCUUGCCGUUGUGCGUAUUCUAGAAAAAACGCAUGCACCGUUGUCUGUCAGUGUCCCAAGAAACUGCUGCGGCAUGAAUAUCUGCCGCCGAAAUGUAUGCACAUGCUUUACAUCUGUGAUCUGUGUACUGGAUAAAACUGAGGGCUCGAUCCUGGUUUCAGAUAAGCGAUGUACGACAGGCUUCAGAUUUCGACGAAGAAGAUGGGUCACAGGGUUAGCCGUGAGGCCGUGACUCUCACAGGAGAGAAUUCAGGCGCCCCGACACGUUAAGAUCCUAAAAUGUUGGUCGUUUGUUUACACUAGAGGUACAUAAACCUGCGAGGUAACUUGAAACAAAUCCAAACAACUAGCCCAUGAACUUGAGAUCCGAGUUCAAUUUGGUCCAAAAUCACCUAGGCGCGACCACGUUGAGCUUUUUUUUUCGGCUGUCCAUAAAGUGGGGCAGAUUGCCGGCCAUAGAGAGAAAAAUUCAAAAUAUUUAUGGAAGAUACUUCACAUAAUAAAUACUAAGUCAACAAAAUUAUUUUGUACUACCAAUAAAUGGCGGAUCGUUCACUUUAGCUACAUCUCAGCUGACUGACUUUUACAUUUUGGGUCAGUCGAUUUUUUAACCGUUGAUUGCUGCUCCAAGAUGCGUGCUAGUUGUUUUUUUAUCCUGUUGUGUGUGCUGUCCUGUAUUGGGCUGGAUGUUUUUUGAUUGACCCCUAUUUUGAGUAAGUCGAUUUCUUGUUGGGCUGAAGCCCGUUACGUGUUUUCUUAUUAGGUUGCUUAUGUGUGUAUUUGCUUCUGUUUUUUCUGUCGGUUUUUAUGGGUAUAUUUUGGGUGUUGGGUGAAUACAAAAUAUAUACACAUAAGUAAUUCAUAAUAUGUGUAUAAAUUGUAAUUCUAUGAAAAAUGCACAAUUAUGUGCGUAUUUCUUACAAUUGUAUUUUCUGUGAAAAUUCCACUACCAUAUGUAUAUUGUUGAAAGCACAAUGGUUUGUAUAUAUUGUGUGUAAAUUUUGUUAUUGUUUGGUUAUUUUGUAAUUUAUUUCUUCUCAAAGGGUAAUAUCAAUGCAACUAACUCAUUCUUACUUAGAAAACUUCAUUAUUUUGACUUUGUUGUAGUAAUUAUUUCAUAUUUUUUUCUGAAGGGUAAUGCCAAAAUCAGUAAUUCAUUUUUUUUACAAAACAUAGUUAUUUUGUUUUUGAUUUAGUGUUUGUUUCAUUUUCUUUUUUUAAUGCUAAUCCCAAUGUCACUAGUUCAUUCCUUCUUAAGAAAUUUUCUUUUUGUGAGAAUUCUAAUACUAUAUACUUAUUCUGGCAUAUUAUUAAAAAGUGCAAUUUCUCCGUAAAUGGUGUGCAAAUUUCUCAUUUUAAACUUUUGUUUUCUUUGUUUAUGCAUUUUUUUCUUCUUUUCUUUCUUCUAUUGGUUUUUUUUUAUUUUUUUGUGGGUUUCUGGCUGAGUGUAAUUAUAUACAUAUAAAUACUAUAUAAUACUACCAAAAUUUCAUGAUUAUUUUAUUAUUUUUGUUUAGUACAAUAAAGUGCAAUUUUGAUGCAUAGUUAUGCACAAUUGUUUUUAUUUUCUUUCUUCUUAAAAAUGUAUUAUUUCAGUUACACUAUGUGUAAAUUAUAGUAGAAUGCGAAAAAUGCACUAUUAUAUGCUUAUUCUUUGCAUAUUUUAGAAAGUGCAAUACCACUACAAAUUGUGUGCAAGUUUUGAAAGUUUUUUUGUUUUUUUUUCUUUAUUGGUUAUAUUUUUGUUUGUUAUGGGCUGAGUGUAAUUAUAUACAUACAAAUAAUAUAUAAUGUGUGCCCAAAUUUCAUGAUUAUAUGAUUAUUUUUGCAUAUUACGAUAAAGUGCAACUUGAGUGUAAAGUUGUGCGCAAGUUUCUUUUAUUUUCUUUCUUCUUCAAUAAAUAGAUUAUUUCAGUUACGCUUUGUGUAAAUUAUAAUAGAAUGCGAAAAUUGCACUAUUAUAUGUUUAUCUUUGCAUAUUUGAAAAAGUGCAAUCUCAGUGCAAAUUGUGUGCAAGUUUUGAAAGUGUUUUGUACUUUCCUAGAAAAUUUCAUUAUUUUGAUAUCGUUUUGUUUUUUUGGGAAGAUUAUACCAAUGCUACAAAUUCGUUCUUCUAUUAGAAAACUUCAUUUUCUAAGUUUUUAUUUCAUUUUUAGUUUUCUUUUCAUUUCUUUUGUAAGGAUGCCGAUGUCACUAACCCAUUACUUUUUAGAAAACACUUUUUUUUGCGGAAACCUCACUAUAUUAUGCUCAAUUUUGCAUAGUAAUAAUACAUUUUCCAUGUAUGUGUAUGUAUAAAAAAUAUAUAUGUGAGAGUGUUAUUCAUCGGUGAGAUUGCACAUAUAUCAAAGUAAAUAUACAUGUGUGAGAUUGCACAUAUAACCACUAAUCAUUGCAUGCAAAUACUCCCUCCGUUCCAAAAUAGAUGACUCAACUUUAUACUAACUUUAGUAUAAAGUUGGGACAUCUUUUUUUUAAGACAACCUCGCAAAGCCUUUAUUGAUCCGUCACAAUGUUUACAAGAACGAAAGAAAGAUCUCCAGGAUGACCUAACCAGACAUGGCGGCCACCCCCGAGAGAUAAAGCAUGCUUCGCUACGUUGUGAGCCUCAAAGUUUGAGCUCCUAAAUUCGUGACCUAUUUUGCAAAACUAAAAACUAGCAGAAUGUUCUAUAAUUUCAUGUAUCACCGCACCAUAUGAAGCUGAAGUACCCCUCUGUAUAUCUUCUACCACCGUCUUGCAGUCGGAGCCCACAUGAAUUCUUUGAACGUAUAAGUCGUCCGCCAAGGCUAGUGCUUCCCUUAUAGCAAGGGAUUCGAGUGUUUGGGGAUCAUUGAUUUGCCGGAAACCCACGACCGAAGCUCCAAGAAACAGGCCGUUUUGGUCCCUGCACACAGCUGCUACCACACCAUACGUGCCUCCUGUCGACAGCGCUGCAUCCACAUUAACUUUGGCACAUCCUUGUACCGGAGGUUGCCAACAUUUUGGUCUCGGCAUAGACGUAGUAACAAGCCGUGGUGACCUCUUAUUGAUCUGCUGCAGCUCUGACAAGUAACUCAUGAUGAAGCCGUUCGUGGAAUAUGGAGACUGGAAAAUGUCCUCAUAGAUCGCCUUCCUCCUUGCACUCCAUAUCGCCCAUGCUGUAACCACCAGGCGAGUGAACUCUUCAGACCGAAGCAUAUCGUGAAGAGCAAACAGCCACUGCUUCGGGUUAUCAUGUUGGCAGCUUACCACCUUUUCAACAAAAUCAUCGGGAGCUAAAGCCCAGAUGCUCCUCGACAUCGAGAAAUUCAACAGCGCAUGUCUCCAAGUGUCUGUUGCUCCGCACAAGUGGCAUGUAUUUUCGUCGGCCAUGUUUCGGUGAUGAAGGACCUCACAUGUAGGCAUCGACUGCCUAGCUAGACGCCAAACGAACAUCCGCAGCUUCGAGGGUACCUGUAUGUGCCAGAUUGCACUCCACUGCUUACUUUCCUAUACAUUUGAAGUUCCUUGCUCCUCAUGAAGCCAUCCUUCCCUGCUUAUCUUUGUUCUCAGUAUCAUACGGUAAGCAGAACGCACCGUGAAAACUCCCCGUCUCUCUUCAUGCCAGGCCCAAAAAUCUAUUAUGUUCCUCGUGCACAGUGGUAUCUUGAGUAUCUCUGCAGCAUCAAAAGGAGUAAAGACAGACCGAACCAGAUCUUCUCUCCAUUGAGCCGAAGUAGCAUCAAUCAGGUCCGACACCCUCUCUGGCGGAUUAGGAACAAGUGAAGUGAUCGGCCUUUUGAAGUUAUCACGUGGAAUCCAGUUAUGCUGCUAGAUAUAUGUCGAAGCCCCAUUACCAAUUCUCCGGACUACUCCUUGUGCAACGAUGUCCCUCCCAUCAAGCACUACCCACCAUAUCUGCGAGGGGUGGGAUCCCAACUCAGCUUCCAGGAGUGAGCAUUGUGAGAAAUAUACAACCUUAAGCACCUUUGCACUAAGCGAGGUCUCGUCGGUCAUCAGCCACAAUGUCACUAAUUGUCAAGCUGCCAGCGGGCAGGCGAUCGGUGUGACACCCAUGCCGAAUCUUCAAUAACUUUAUGGAGCUGCUGGGUGGCACCAACCUACGCAAAGUAGCAUAGCAUGACCACGCUAUUCGCAACACAAAAGGAGAAUCACAAAACAACACAAGACAAUGGUUGAUUUCUUUACCCAAUGGGAGAAAUGACACCUUCACCAGGCUCCAGGGCCGCCGUACCAUGCCGCCGAGAUCCGGGCGAAUGGAGGCCGUGGAAGCAACAAGGCGGUGACAGAUCAGUGGGAGGACAAGACUCGAGGUGGUGGUGAAAAGGAGGGUCUAACAACCAAAAUUUAGGGACGUGUCAGUAUAGAGCACUGCAGGUGAGCCCGCAGUGGAGAAAGACACGAAUUAGAGGGGCAAAAUGGGAAUUGUGGCCCCAAUGGCGGGCCCCCACAUUGACGGACACUCAAAGGGUCUUGUCGCCAAUAUUGGUGGGCCCAUGUCGGAGUGGAAAUGGAAAUUAUGGUGCAAUAUUUGACCCGCACAUCACCCGAAAGGGUUAAUCGAGUCUUUUCGUGGCUGCAGUUGAUGUGGUGAAGUGAUGGGUCCAAAAUGGAAUGAAACAACGCAAAGUUGAUGGCAACCGAUGGAGAUUACAUGCAGUUUCAUACACCAAUUUUUUUCACAAUCGUUAGUGCCCGGACCGAAAUAUGGAAAAUUGAGUGGCAGGACUCGAAUAUACAACAUUGGCAGUGGCACAAACCGAUUCUUCCCAAAAGUAUAAUAUGAACUUUUUUUCAUGAUGGGUUUGGGGAUAUUGAUCGCUAUCAUACAUGUUAAUAUUUCCUUCCUAUAAACUAGAACAAAGUGUAAUCAAUCAAAAAUAAUAUGCACUCUAUUAUGAAAUUAGGGGAGUAAGCCCUAUCUAUAAGACAACAUGACCGUGGCUAUUGAUGAUUUCUCGGUAGACUAGUAAUGAAAUUUCAUAGGAUUUAAUCCCUCUGUUCCUAAAUAUAAUAUUUUUAGAGAUUUUAAUAUGGACUACAACGGAGCAAAAUGAGUGAAUCUACACUCUAAACUAUGUCUAUAUACAUCCGUAUGUUGUUUGUAGUGAAAUCUCUAGAAAGUCUUAUAUUUAGGGAUAGAGGAACUAUUUGCCAUUUAUUUGAAGAAAGAUAACUUUUACCCAAAGAAAAAUGAAACAUUUUAAUUAAUGACAUUAAUUGGAUAGGGAUAACCUUGUUGCCACCACAUCUAUAUAAGGCGACUAGACGGUGCCCCUCAUGACCACAAAAAUAUACUGGUUGACAGACUAUUGCAUAAUUAUAUAUUUUCUGUUGUUCUGUGUUCUUAGGCAAUGGCGAACAACGGCAUCUUCGAAGUGAUCAUUGUUUUUCUCAUGGCGCAAGUCUGCUUGCUCAUGAUGAUGGCAACACCGGUAGCACAUGCAGCUGCUAGACCGGUGGGGUACAAUCCAGUGUGCUGCCCUAGGAACAUCUAUUGUUGCGGGUUCGGUAGUGGAUUGGCCAAUUCACCCGCACCAUCCAUUGUAUCUUGAUGUGUGGUUUUAUUUUCCCCCAAGUAGUAAGCUCAACAUAUAAUUGAUAUAUGUGGUUCAUGUGUUAUGUAAUCCUGAAUAUUUGUGAUGCUACUUUCAAGAGGUUAUUGUACUAGUUACUUACUUAAUAAAAUGGGAGGAGAUUAUUAUAUAUUUUGUUCGGAAUAUACCGCAAAGAGACUUAAGAUUAUGUUUACUUUAGUUCUUUUGAAAACUAGAUUAUUUUGCUGCAUUGAUUUAAGAAAAAAGAGUAACCAAG